GAGGUAUUCUGGGAAAAACAAGACGUUCUGAGGUGUGCUACGCUGAAAGAAUUAAUUUUACAAGAGCUCAGAAGGACAUCUUUGGACAGACCAGCACUACGGACAGGGAUUUCCUUCCCUUACUGCAAGACCCCGCUCCUCGUGUCUGACUGUUGAGCGUCACGCUCAUACUCUCCGGAAGAGCUGGCUUCAUGUCUGGAGAUGCCAAUGCUACAGUAUCUGUCAGCGUUGGCAUUUUGAUUCGGGAGACGUGCUGAAAGCUGGCUCACCCGCCCGCUUCAGGCUGGUUCUCGCCACCGGCACCACCACACAUUCGGGGCUGGAAGGUGAUGAUGGAUCGGAGGAGCCAUCGAUAUGCUGAUGGAACGAAUGCAGCCUAAUUUGUCUGCCUGAUGGGAGCAACCCGAGUGAUCUCAAUGAGGCAGAAGAGGCCACCUUGUGUUGACAAUCUUUCAAGCUGUGCUUGGCUCCAGGUUUGACUAUUUACACUGGCAUGUGCCCAUGGCCCAUAGGUCGGUCUGCAUAUUUAUUGAUGCAUUAUGUGCUCCUCUAUGAGAAAAUCAACAUUUUGUGCCCUAUUGUGAGGAAUUAUUAUUGACUGGUAUAAAAUGAUGUCUCCCUUGUUUUUGAUUUGAUGAAUAAUCCAGUAUGACAGAUCUUCCCGACGGCACUAAUUCAUUUACUCCAUUUGCAAAGAAUGGAAAAUUUCAUUGCGUCUUAUGGAGAAUAUCGCACCUGAUUCGUCUGCUUCAGGUAACCUGAGGGAUUAAGAAAGGAUGAACAGGGCAGUGUCUGUGUCCCAUGCCGCUGGCCAGGCCUUGGCAGAGCGGACAGCAAUGAAAACACGGCCCAUUAAACCGCCCGUCUGGGGUAUCGUCUCCUCCAUGGUUCACUCUGGCCAAGCUAUAAUUUCCGCUGUGUUUUGUGCAGCUGCUGCUACAAUUUACCAGAGUAAAUUAUUAUCACCUUGUGGAACCAAAAUUCAGCAGUAUUUAAAAAAACAGAGCUUCCGCUGGACCUUGCCAUUGAAGUCAGCCAUGCAGUACAACCCCAGUCUGCUUGUCAUUAUGCAUGGGAACCUCAUUAAUAACUUAUUGGGGGUGUGGCAAGGGGUGGGGGGGGGAUGGUGAUGGGUCCAGAAUAUGCAAUAAAGAAAACAAUUACUCCAAUGCAGGCAGCCCCCCCAGACAGCUUACAUCAGAGAACACGGAUGUGGGAAAUGUACAAUGAGACCUUGGCUUUGGUUGGUGACGCUAAUUAGCACGUUAGCGUACCGAAGCCGUUCAGGAUGGCCUGUCUUUACGUGUGAAUGUUGGAUGGGCUGAUGAACCGCAAGACUCUCCAUGCUCUUGGGCUGCCUUCUCGGCUCCCUCGAGUGAGAGGACAGGUGUCCUGGCUUAGGUACGCCACUAACGUUCCAGCUACUUACCUCAUAGGGAACGGCCAGUGUCCCAUGCCUCGCAAGCAUGAAUUAUUCUGAGAACUAAACCGUAAAUGUGCCUUAUUGCUUCAACUGGACCAGGUGCCGUUCUCAGUCACUGUCGUGGAGAUCCGGAGCAUCUCACUAACGCUGCAGAGGGCGAUGGUGUUGCAUGGAAUGCCGUUCGUGUCUGGGGUCCAUGUACAGCUUGUUAAAACCAAUAAUGACAUGGAUGAGUCAAUAAAGAAAUUAACUGAAAACGUAUAUUAAUGUGUUUUCCAUUCAGACUGCAAUGUUUUUAAAUCUCGUUGGAAUAAAUGUUCGACUGAU